rnacentral:misc_RNA from 1 species
GCACACUUGAGAGUUAGUA